AAGACUAUACUUUCAGGGAUCAUUUCUAUAGUUUGUUAACAUACUUACCUCUUCUAGGACUCUCAUGAUUGAAGAGAAUGCCAUUCACUGCGAAGAGGUUAUAUGCCUCACGGAAGU
rnacentral:snoRNA from 1 species